UACGGGGGGGGCAAGCGUUGUUCGGAAUUACUGGGCGUAAAGGGCUCGUAGGCGGCCAACUAAGUCAGACGUGAAAUCCCUCGGCUUAACCGGGGAACUGCAUCUGAUACUGGAUGGCUUGAGUUCGGGAGAGGGAUGCGGAAUUCCCGGUGUAGCGGUGAAAUGCGCAGAUAUCGGGAGGAACACCCGUAGCGAAGGCGGCACUCUGGGCCGGAACUGACGCUGAGGAGCGAAAGCGUGGGGAGCAAACAGG
rnacentral:rRNA from 1 species